rnacentral:rRNA from 1 species
AGAGUUUGAUCCUGGCUCAGGACGAACGCUGGCGGCGUGCUUAACACAUGCAAGUCGAACGAGGCACUUGUGCCUAGUGGCGAACGGGUGAGUAACACGUGAGCAACCUGCCCCUGGCUCUGGGAUAGCCUCCGGAAACGGGGAUUAAUACCGGACAUGACCCGGGACCGCAUGGUCUCGGGUGGAAAGUUUUUCGGCCGGGGAGGGGCUCGCGGCCUAUCAGCUUGUUGGAGGGGUGACGGCCCACCAAGGCGACGACGGGUAGCCGGCCUGAGAGGGCGACCGGCCACACUGGGACUGAGACACGGCCCAGACUCCUACGGGAGGCAGCAGUGGGGAAUAUUGCGCAAUGGGGGAAACCCUGACGCAGCGACGCCGCGUGCGGGAUGAAGGCCUUCGGGUUGUAAACCGCUUUCACCAGGAGCGAAUCCAGACGGUACCUGGGGAAGAAGCGCCGGCUAACUACGUGCCAGCAGCCGCGGUAAUACGUAGGGCGCAAGCGUUGUCCGGAAUUAUUGGGCGUAAAGAGCUCGUAGGCGGCCUGUCGCGUCCGCUGUGAAAUCCCGGGGCUUAACCCCGGGCCUGCAGUGGAUACGGGCUGGCUGGAGGCAGGCAGGGGAGAACGGAAUUCCCGGUGUAGCGGUGAAAUGCGCAGAUAUCGGGAGGAACACCGGUGGCGAAGGCGGUUCUCUGGGCCUGUUCUGACGCUGAGGAGCGAAAGCGUGGGGAGCGAACAGGAUUAGAUACCCCCGUAGUCC